rnacentral:tRNA from 2 species
GGGACCGUAGCUCAACGGUUAGAGCAGGGGACUCAUAAUCCCUUGGUUGCAGGUUCGAAUCCUGCCGGUCCUA